CAGCGCCACGAGUGGCAACCGCGAUUAUUGGGCCUAAAGCGUCCGUAGCCGGUUUGGUAAAUCUUUUGUGAAAUUGUACAGCUCAACUGUACAGCGUGCAAGAGACACUGCCAAACUCGAGACCGGGAGGAGUCAGAAGUAUUCCAGGGGGAGCGGUAAAAUGUUAUAAUCCCUGGAGGACUACCUGUGGCGAAGGCGUCUGACCAGAACGGAUCUGACGGUGAGGGACGAAAGCCAGGGGAGCGAACCAGAUUAGAGACCCGAGUAGUCC
rnacentral:rRNA from 1 species